UAGUUGGAAGAAGAGUGAGAGUCGCUGGAGGCAGCGGUUCAUCGAUCUCUUCCUGUGAACACAUUAAAAAUGUAAAAGCAUGAAUAGAUCGAUAAACCUCUGCAUCCAGCGUUUGCCUCUUGUAUCUUUCUUAUUGACUU
rnacentral:pre_miRNA from 1 species